rnacentral:rRNA from 1 species
AGUGAACGCUGGCGGUAGGCCUAACACAUGCAAGUCGAACGGCAGCACAGAGGAGCUUGCUCCUUGGGUGGCGAGUGGCGGACGGGUGAGGAAUACAUCGGAAUCUACUCUGUCGUGGGGGAUAACGUAGGGAAACUUACGCUAAUACCGCAUACGACCUACGGGGGAAAGCAGGGGACCUUCGGGCCUUGAGCGAUUGAAUGAGCCGAUGUCGGAUUAGCUAGUUGGCGGGGUAAAGGCCCACCAAGGCGACGAUCCGUAGCUGGUCUGAGAGGAUGAUCAGCCACACUGGAACUGAGACACGGUCCAGACUCCUACGGGAGGCAGCAGUGGGGAAUAUUGGACAAUGGGCGCAAGCCUGAUCCAGCCAUACCGCGUGGGUGAAGAAGGCCUUCGGGUUGUAAAGCCCUUUUGUUGGGAAAGAAAUCCAGCUGGCUAAUACCCGGUUGGGAUGACGGUACCCAAAGAAUAAGCACCGGCUAACUUCGUGCCAGCCGCCGCAGUAA